GAUGAACGCUGGCGGCGUGCCUAAUACAUGCAAGUCGAGCGAACGGACGAGAAGCUUGCUUCUCUGAUGUUAGCGGCGGACGGGUGAGUAACACGUGGAUAACCUACCUAUAAGACUGGGAUAACUUCGGGAAACCGGAGCUAAUACCGGAUAAUAUUUUGAACCGCAUGGUUCAAAAGUGAAAGACGGUCUUGCUGUCACUUAUAGAUGGAUCCGCGCUGCAUUAGCUAGUUGGUAAGGUAACGGCUUACCAAGGCAACGAUGCAUAGACGACCUGAGAGGGUGAUAGGCCACCCUGGAGCUGGGACACGGUCAAGACUCCUACGGGAGGCAGCAGUAGGGAAUCUUCCGCAAUGGGCGAAAGCCUGACGGAGCAACGCCGCGUGAGUGAUGAAGGUCUUCGGAUCGUAAAACUCUGUUAUUAGGGAAGAACAUAUGUGUAAGUAACUGUGCACAUCUUGACGGUACCUAAUCAGAAAGCCACGGCUAACUACGUG
rnacentral:rRNA from 1 species